AUUGAACGCUGGCGGCAGGCCUAACACAUGCAAGUCGAGCGGAGGGCCAGACGGGUAAGUAAUGCCUAGGAAUCUGCCAGGUAGUGGGGGAUAACGUCCGGAACCGGGCACGAAAACCGCAAACUAUAAGAAGAAGAUAGGUCGGAUUAGCGAGUUGGUGGGGUAAAGGCAUACCAAGGCGACGAUCCGUAUCUGGUCUGAGAGGAUGAUCAGUCACACUGGAACUGAGACACGGUCCAGACUCCUACGGGAGGCAGCAGUGGGGAAUAUUGGACAAUGGGCGAAAGCCUGAUCCAGCCAUGCCGCGUGUGUGAAGAAGGUCUUCGGAUUGUAAAGCACUUUAAGUUGGGAGGCGUUACCAACAGAAUAAGCACCGGCUAACUUCGUGCCAGCAGCCGCGGUAAUUC
rnacentral:rRNA from 1 species